rnacentral:rRNA from 1 species
GACGAACGCUGGCGGCGUGCUUAACACAUGCAAGUCGAACGGAAAGGCCCUGCUUUUGUGGGGUGCUCGAGUGGCGAACGGGUGAGUAACACGUGAGUAACCUGCCCUUGACUUUGGGAUAACUUCAGGAAACUGGGGCUAAUACCGGAUAGGAGCUCCUGCUGCAUGGUGGGGGUUGGAAAGUUUCGGCGGUUGGGGAUGGACUCGCGGCUUAUCAGCUUGUUGGUGGGGUAGUGGCUUACCAAGGCUUUGACGGGUAGCCGGCCUGAGAGGGUGACCGGCCACAUUGGGACUGAGAUACGGCCCAGACUCCUACGGGAGGCAGCAGUGGGGAAUAUUGCACAAUGGGCGGAAGCCUGAUGCAGCAACGCCGCGUGCGGGAUGACGGCCUUCGGGUUGUAAACCGCUUUCGCCUGUGACGAAGCGUGAGUGACGGUAAUGGGUAAAGAAGCACCGGCUAACUACGUGCCAGCAGCCGCGGUGAUACGUAGGGUGCGAGCGUUGUCCGGAUUUAUUGGGCGUAAAGGGCUCGUAGGUGGUUGAUCGCGUCGGAAGUGUAAUCUUGGGGCUUAACCCCUGAGCGUGCUUUCGAUACGGGUUGACUUGAGGAAGGUAGGGGAGAAUGGAAUUCCUGGUGGAGCGGUGGAAUGCGCAGAUAUCAGGAGGAACACCAGUGGCGAAGGCGGUUCUCUGGGCCUUUCCUGACGCUGAGGAGCGAAAGCGUGGGGAGCGAACAGGCUUAGAUACCCUGGUAGUCCACGCUGUAAACGGUGGGUACUAGGUGUGGGGUCCAUUCCACGGGUUCCGUGCCGUAGCUAACGCUUUAAGUACCCCGCCUGGGGAGUACGGCCGCAAGGCUAAAACUCAAAGGAAUUGACGGGGCCCCGCACAAGCGGCGGAGCAUGCGGAUUAAUUCGAUGCAACGCGUAGAACCUUACCUGGGUUUGACAUGGAUCGGGAGUGCUCAGAGAUGGGUGUGCCUCUUUUGGGGUCGGUUCACAGGUGGUGCAUGCCUGUCGUCAGCUCGUGUCGUGAGAUGUUGGGUUAAGUCCCGCAACGAGCGCAACCCUUGUUCACUGUUGCCAGCACGUUAUGGUGGGGACUCAGUGGAGACCGCCGAGGUCAACUCGGAGGAAGGUGGGGAUGACGUCAAGUCAUCAUGCCCCUUAUGUCCAGGGCUUCACGCAUGCUACAAUGGCUGGUACAGAGAGUGGCGAGCCUGUGAGGGUGAGCGAAUCUCGGAAAGCCGGUCUCAGUUCGGAUUGGGGUCUGCAACUCGACCUCAUGAAGUCGGAGUCGCUAGUAAUCGCAGAUCAGCAACGCUGCGGUGAAUACGUUCCCGGGGCU